UACCCAAAGAGUUUGUUCUGCCACUAGAAAUUUUACCUGUAUUGAAACCAUUCCAGUGACUAAUAAUGUAGCCUAUUAAUUGAAAGCCUGUUAACAGU